AGUGUCUUAUGGCCUCAGCCAUCUGGGCUAGAGUUCCUAGCAGAACUCCUUCCUAGCUAUGAACAGGAUGCUAGGAGAAAACUGAGGCAUAAAAGCAAGGAUUAAAGGAAGAGUUGGGCCCCAAAUGUAGUGACUUAAAAGCUACUUGAGCAGCUGGGCUUCAUCUGGGUCCAACCAGAUCCAGGGGCAGCAAGGCUGGGUGAUGAGAUGGAAGCAUCUGAUUGUGUCUUGUUUUCUGUAAGAUUGGCUCGGACUGUGGGAAGAAUUGAGUCAGCAAACUGCAGGAUGUUUUGUGUCUCCAACUAGAAGAGCCUGGGGGUCAUUAAGAUUUGAUGGGCAGGAACUGUGCUGCCCAAUACUAUAACCACUAGCCACAUGUGGCUGUUUAAGUUUAAAUGAAUUACAACUGAAUACAAUGAAAAAUGCUUCAGUCUCAGACAGAGUCACUAUAAAAUGUUUCCAUCAUCACAGAACGUUCUGAUGGACGGCAUUGGUCUGGAAGAAGGGAUGAGCCGGAGGUCUACCUUCACAGGCUGGGAAUUGAAGGUCUGUUAUGCUUCUGUUAUUGGCAGGACAGCCAGAGGAGGCAGACAGGACCUUUGAUGCCUGGCAAGCUGUACCACUGGGAGGGGCAGUUGUUUUCCAGAAUUACCUCAAAGGAAAGCACAACAGUCAGACGUGAAAUGGAAACAGAAAAAUCUUCUGAAGCAGAAUAGUAACGCUGUGAAUUUAAAAGUAAUGGAUUUACAUUGACAACAUGCACAACAGGCUCAUGUAAAAGGAUUAUCUGAUGUGUCAUCAUGACUUAAUGAAGAACGCAAAUGCUUCUCGAUGAAAUUGAAGUAAAAAGAGGAAACAGAAGGG
ensembl:lncRNA novel transcript